rnacentral:rRNA from 1 species
CCUACGGGUGGCAGCAGUGGGGAAUAUUGCGCAAUGGGCGAAAGCCUGACGCAGCGACGCCGCGUGAGGGAUGAAGGUCUUCGGAUCGUAAACCUCUGUCAGCAGGGAAGAACGGUCACUGUGCUAAUCAGCAGUGAAUUGACGGUACCUGCAAAGGAAGCACCGGCUAACUCCGUGCCAGCAGCCGCGGUAAUACGGAGGGUGCGAGCGUUGAUCGGACUUACUGGGCGUAAAGCGCUCGUAGGCGGUAUGUCCAGUCAAGGGUGAAAUCCCCGCGCUCAACGUGGGAACUGCCUUUGAAACUGGCAAACUGGAGUGUGUGAGAGGAUAGUGGAAUGCCAGGGGGAGGAGUGAAAGCCGUAGAUAUCUGGAGGAACAUCAGUGGCGAAGGCGACUAUCUGGCACAUAACUGACGCUGAGGAGCGAAAGCGUGGGUAGCAAACAGGAUUAGAUACCCGAGUAGUC